AAUAUUGGGGAUGGGACACAUCUGUAGAAGGAAAUGGACAGUCAAUAUUUUGGGUCAAGACCCUUCAUUUUGACUGAAAGAGUAGAGAGAAG